AUUCUCACUCCCAAAUCUGACACCACGAAGUCCCGCUUGACGCUCUCGCCAGAUUGUGAGUUUAAUGACAGAUGAGAAGGAGAUCAUUGAUGACUAUAGCUCAGAUGAGGAA